CACCAUUCAGACCCGCGUGCUUUGUGAUGGGGUAGAUUUGUUUAGCUAUGUCAGUUGUGCUACUGGAGAGAUAGAAGACAGGCUGCAGAGCCAUCCCCCCAGCGAACAGUCUAAGAGGUUGGUUAGACACAGCUACAGCCAACAGGACCCUCUUGAGUAAGCCGAGUGAUCGGGAAAGAAGAUCGUUCCAGCAUGGCGGCUGCUGCCAAAAGAAGGGGCAAAUCUAACCAGAGGUCAGGCCAAUGAAAUUGAAGAAAGACAUUUAAGAUAGCGGCUCCUCCCCCGAGUGGCAAAGGACUUCUGUCUGAUAUUUAAGCUCCAGGAUCUGACUUCUUAGCCACAAAGAAUGAACUGAUUGAAACGUGGCUAAAACAGUAAGACGGUCUGAAGACAUUUAUAGACGAAAAUGGCCCGCUAAGAUGGGGCCACAACCCAGGAGGAGCCCGUCUGUCAUUUGCUCCUAAACAAGGUCAUUGCAAGACACUUGUGCAUGAAGAUUUAAGUGGAAAAGUCGAUGCACAGAGACAGUCCCACUCUCUCGGCUUUGGAAGCCUGGGUCCAUUGGCAUGAAAAAUCAUUACACCUGGAGACUUCCUCAGCUGCAUUGGAUGGCCGUGUUGUCUUUUGUGCUCCAACUCGCCCUAAGCACUCCACAGUGCCUUGCUGCGUCGCCAUCUCAGCCGUUGAACCUUCUUGUUGGUUUCUUCUGCCUGUUCCGCCAAAACAGUCUUCACAUGCUGGCCCUGAACACACAAUCCUAUCACUGGAGCAGUCUUUUCAAGGGGUGAGGACCCAGGAAGAGAAAUGGGACUUCACAAAUGUCAUAGAUGGAAAACACAGAAGCCAAGUUGGGAUUUGAAUUGAGACUUUCGACUAUACCACUGCCACUUUUUUUUCCUUUGGUUGUGCACUAGUAUAUAUCAUGUGACUCUUGGGUACAUUAUUUUUCCCAUUUGCAAAAUAGAAAUGAUAAUCUGGACCUACUCUUGGGCAAACUAAUUACGAUCAAGCAAUCUGAAUAACAAUAUCCAUGGAAAUGUUUACUGUUGAUUUAUUAUACUGCUAAUAAUUUAUUGUGGCAAUUAUUAAAAUAUAGAUUGAUAUUAACAUUUAGUGUACCAUCUAAGCCACCCAAGUGAUUAUCAUAGAUUAAUUAUUUGAGCAAUAACAGCGAUUCAUCUUCGUCAUUAUCAUCAUACUUAAAUGAUAAUGAUUUCUAAUGCAUAAUCAUCUGUAUUCUCCAAAUAAUAAGAGUAUCACUAGCCUAUUAUGGUGAAGAUAAUAACUAAUAAUGGAAUCAUAAUUAUUCCUAAUUGUGGCUCAUUAUUGGUAUCAGGAUCUCCCACUCACCCCAAGUCAUCAAAACGUAGGCUAAAGAAAACCUUCUGGAAGUAGAUGGAGAGAUUCAUUCCUGUGGCAUCUUCUCUGUUAACUGCUUUGCCCCUGUAAGGGAGGGUCACGGCUGGACUUCUCCUAGGCUGGAGCCAAGAGCCCUCUGGAUUUAUCAGUUUGUUCCUGUGCUUCUCCCCUUCCCUCUCAUUUGCAUGGGAGAGCAAGAGUUUUGCGACUGAAAAAAGGGAGGUGAAAGUGGACUCAAACCCUGAGAACUCUGGGCUGUUUGCUGGAAGGCAACCCUCAAAGCAGAGUAAUUGGAAAUUGGAAAUCUAGCAAACGAUUGUUUGUACUUUCUCACUCUAAGUCAGACAAGGACUCCUGACAGAGGCUCAUUUUAAUGAAUAAAAAAUAAAAUUGGC